rnacentral:rRNA from 1 species
UACGGAGGGGGCUAGCGUUGUUCGGAAUUACUGGGCGUAAAGCGCACGUAGGCGGCUUUGUAAGUUAGAGGUGAAAGCCCGGGGCUCAACCCCGGAAUUGCCUUUAAGACUGCAUCGCUUGAACGUCGGAGAGGUAAGUGGAAUUCCGAGUGUAGAGGUGAAAUUCGUAGAUAUUCGGAAGAACACCAGUGGCGAAGGCGACUUACUGGACGACUGUUGACGCUGAGGUGCGAAAGCGUGGGGAGCAAACAGG